AGGGACUAGAGGGCGACGCAUGCUCCAUGUGAACAUGAUGAAGCCCUACCAGGAGCGCUCCGAGGAGGUAACCGCCAUAUGUGCGCCCAACUCUGACGAGUUUGACAGCUUACCUCUCCCAGAUCUGCUGGGAGAUGGGCAGUUGUCUGGAGAUUUAGGGGAGGUUUCGCUGGGAGACCGACUGAGCCCACAGGAGUGUAUCAAGGUACAGCAGCUAUUGGAAGAGAAACAAGACACGUUCUCUAAUG